rnacentral:rRNA from 1 species
UACAGAGGUGCCAAGCGUUAGGCGGAAUCACUGGGCUUAAAGCGCGUGUAGGCGGGUCGUUAAGUGUCUUGUGAAAUCCCACGGCUCAACCGUGGAACUGCUGGGCAUACUGACGAUCUUGAGGCACUCAGGGGCCGUCGGAACAAAUGGUGGAGCGGUGAAAUGCGUAGAUAUCAGGAAGAACACCGGUGGCGAAAGCGCUCUGCUAGGCCGUAACUGACACUGAGGGACGAAAGCUAGGGGAGCGAAUGGG